rnacentral:rRNA from 1 species
AGUGAACGCUGGCGGUAGGCCUAACACAUGCAAGUCGAACGGCAGCACAGUAAGAGCUUGCUCUUACGGGUGGCGAGUGGUGGACGGGUGAGGAAUACAUCGGAAUCUACUUUUUCGUGGGGGAUAACGUAGGGAAACUUACGCUAAUACCGCAUACGACCUACGGGUGAAAGCAGGGGAUCUUCGGACCUUGCGCGAUUGAAUGAGCCGAUGUCGGAUUAGCUAGUUGGCGGGGUAAAGGCCCACCAAGGCGACGAUCCGUAGCUGGUCUGAGAGGAUGAUCAGCCACACUGGAACUGAGACACGGUCCAGACUCCUACGGGAGGCAGCAGUGGGGAAUAUUGGACAAUGGGCGCAAGCCUGAUCCAGCCAUACCGCGUGGGUGAAGAAGGCCUUCGGGUUGUAAAGCCCUUCUGUUGGGAAAGAAAAGCAGCAGGUUAAUACCCCGCUGUUCUGACGGUACCCAAAGAAUAAGCACCGGCUAACUUCGU